rnacentral:rRNA from 1 species
GUGGGGAAUUUUGGACAAUGGGCGAAAGCCUGAUCCAGCCAUGCCGCGUGCAGGAUGAAGGCCUUCGGGUUGUAAACUGCUUUUGUACGGAACGAAAAGACUCCUUCUAAUAAAGGGGGUCCAUGACGGUACCGUAAGAAUAAGCACCGGCUAACUACGUGCCAGCAGCCGCGGUAAUACGUAGGGUGCAAGCGUUAAUCGGAAUUACUGGGCGUAAAGCGUGCGCAGGCGGUUAUAUAAGACAGAUGUGAAAUCCACGGGCUCAACCUGGGAAAUGCAUUUGUGACUGUAUAGCUAGAGUACGGUAGAGGGGGAUGGAAUUCCGCGUGUAGCAGUGAAAUGCGUAGAUAUGCGGAGGAACACCGAUGGCGAAGGCAAUCCCCUGGACCUGUACUGACGCUCAUGCACGAAAGCGUGGGGAGCAAACAGGAUUAGAAACCCGAGUAGUCC